UCUAUUGAAUGAAUGAGUGAAUGCAUGCAACAAGAUUGAUGCACAUCAAAGAAUAAGUAUUUCACAGCUUGGACUCUUUUUUUCUAGACAGUUCUCCUCCAUCAAUCUUAACCAUUUCCCUUUCUGGUCACACCACCCAACUAUAAGAGACAGCAUGGCAGGGGACAGGGAGGACAUCACCAAUAGCUGAGAACAUCUGAACUAUCGGCAUAAGAACUUCUGAUGACUUUGCAAACCCGGCAACAAUUGAGCACAAAAGCCUCCGGAGUCAUGCUGGCACGUUGUGACUGAACCACACAAUGACGUGAGGUUCGCUCCGUUCUGGAAAUGCCCAAACAGCUAACGGCAGAGGUAAAUGCAAUCCAACAUCAGCACCCACACAGCCUGGGACAGACCUGAGACUCAGAGCCCUCAGUCUCGGGGGCAAGUUUCCCACGGUGGCAGAGGGUAAAGGUGGCAGAUUAAAAAAAAAAAAAAA